UUUUAUUUAGACCAGUCAUGGCAGCAGCAGAUUUGUCCAGGAACAGAGGAGGGUUUGGUGGUAGAGGCCUGCUCGUCACCUUCACUCUGUUUUCUCUGGUGUCUUUCACAAAUUCACUAGUCAACAACGAUGAACUGAACAAGCUUGUGGAAUCAUAUCAAGAUGUACAACAAGAGCUGCACAGAGUUAAAGCAAAAUUAAGCAGCACCUCAGAGUUAUUAAAUGAAGGAACCAACAUGAUAAACUCUAUGGCAGCGUGGAUGAAAGAAACUGUGAAGAAUCUCCCGGACGAUUUUCCCCCAGUGGAGAAUUUUUUGGCUGCUUCCCAAGGCUACAUGGAGGCAUUAAAGGCUUAUGUGAACAAUCAGAAUGAGAAGUUUACUGCAGAAAUUAGGGAGAGUGAAGAGGAACUAAAAACAAUGAUGAAAUUUAUCCAGUAUCUUCAAGAGUAUAAAGCUGAACUGUUCAGAUCCACCUCUGCUUCUUUCAACAAACAUGGAAGAACUGAAAACGCUUCGGGGCAGCCAAUGACCAAGCUUCAAAUCCUGUCUCUAUGGAGACACAAAUAUGUGGUCACCACCGAAAUCUAGAGUGUUGCCUACUUAAUUCAGAAACAAAGAGGAAGAGGAUGCUCAAGGGCGUAUCUCUGUCAGCAAUGUGACCAAACCUUCGCCAGGCCAUACUCACUGAAGAAUCAUCAGAAGAUUCGCUCUGUAGAGAAACCAUAUAGCUGUGACCAGUGUGCCAAUACAUUUAAAACAAGAAGUAAACUAAAAGCCCAUCAGCAAAUUCAUACAAGAGAAAGACCAUACACUUGCACUGAAUGUGGAGCAGCUUUUAAAAGGUCAGAUACUUUGAAAGUCCACUGUUUUGUUCACACUAGCAGAAACCUUAUUGUUGUAAAGAGUGUGGUAAAGCGUUCUAUAAUCACUCUAAGUUAGUUAGACACCAACGUGUUCACACUGGAGAGAAACCUUAUUUGUGCAAAAAGUGUGGAAAAGCAUUGUCUUAUUGCAGUAGCUUAGUGAUACAUCAGUGUGUUCACACUGGAGAGAAACUUUACUCAUGUGAACUAUGGGGUGCCAAAUGUACUGUAAAAGUAGAACCUAUAACUAGUUUUCUCACAUUUAACUAAAUGACACAACAUGUUUUCUCACAUUUAGUUAAAUGUGCAAAAGUCUAAAUGUAAAUGUUAAAUAUAAAUGUUAAAUGUAAAUGUUAAAUGUUAAAUGUUAACUGUUAAAUGUUAAAUGUUAAAUGUAAAUGUUAAAUGUAAAUGUUAAAUGUUAAAUGUUAAAUGUUAAAUGUUAAAUGUAAAUGUUAAAUGUAAAUGUUAAAUGUUGGCCGAGUGUAAAACUGAAUAUUCAUGAAUGGGCAAGUAGACUCUACCCCUACCCUCAAACGGCGCUGAUCUAAGAUCAGUGACGCGGACUCAAACACGUCCAACAGUACGCAUAGCUCCGCCCACAUCUGACACUGGAUCGGUGCACGAAAAUACUGGAGAGAAGCCUGAAGUCGAAGCCAUCAUGGCCGCCAGCUCAGACUCCCUCCCGUUGGGGGAGAUUGAACGGGCUGUAACGGCAGGUGUGCGGGCUGAGGCUCCGCUUCAAACUGCCGUUCUGUCGUAAACACCAUUAAUGAGGAGUCAAGUAGGUUUAAAAAGAAUAUUUGUGUGGCGCCGGUGGAGAAUUAGUUGGCUAACUAUACUAGCUAGCCGAAGUUACAUCCAGGCUAAAAACAAAAGUUUCCAGAUCAGAUGUGGGCGGGGUUUGCGCGCACUGUUUGAGGUGAUUGAGUUCGCGUCUCUGAUCCGAGACCAGCGCUGUUUGAGGGUAGGGAUGGAGUCUACUUGCACAUUCAUGAAUAUUCAGUUUACACUCGGCCAACAUUUAACAUUUACAUUUAACAUUUACAUUUAACAUUUAACAUUUACAUUUAACAUUUACAUUUAACAUUUAGCAUUUAACAUUUAACAUUUACAUUUAACAUUUACAUUUAGACUUUUGCACAUUUAACUAAAUGUGAGAAAACAUGUUGUGUCAUUUAGUUAAAUGUGAGAAAACUAGUUAUAGGUGCUCCUUUUACAUUUGGCACCCCAUAGUGAACGGUGUAAAAAAAAGUUAUUCAAUUAUGACCAUUAUCUAUAGAUACAUAAAUGUCUUCACAGUGGAGAGAAACCUUACUGGUGUGAACAGUGUGGAAAAGUGUUCUCUCAACAAAGUAAUUUACUGGUACAUCAACGUGUUUACACUGGAGAGAAACCUCACUCAUGUGAAUAGUUUGGAAAAGCGUUCUCUCUCAUAACUCUACCUUAAAGAAACACCAAUAUGUUCACACUACACAGGAAAAUUCCCAUCUUCUCCUGAGCCUCUGCAGUCACUGAAAACAUCUGUAGUAUGUGGUUCUGAGUUCUGGGGCAUCUUUUUUUGAAUGCCAGCCAUUGUUGAGGAAAUUAAUACUGUUUGUUUGAGUUUGGUUCUGUGAAUUUGUUUGCAGUUAUUUUGUGCAAUAAAAUGUUUGAUUAAAAUAUUAAAAAGUAAGAA
rnacentral:lncRNA from 1 species